CACUUUUUCUAGGACCUAUACUAGAGCAGCUCCCUGACUGUGCAAUACUGUGCUACAUGAGUGUACACUAAUGCUCCUGAAGCUUGGCCUGCCUGGACUGUAAUUGAGAGGUUUGGGAAGGCUGUCCUUGAAUUUUACUUGUGUGCCAGAUCAUGACUACAGCCCAGUACUAUGUGUUGGUGAGACUUCCCUGUGCAACCCAUGAGAUAUUCAGUGAAGCUCUCUCAGGUACAGCCAUGAUCAAGUCAAGAACCUGUUGGUAAAAAUCAGGGACCAAAUUAACAAAGGAUGUUGGGUGAUCAAGGUCUACUACAGGCUGCCUGACCAGGAGAGCCUAUGGGUGAAGCCUUCUUGCUUUGGCUACAGGAAGUGUUGUGCUUUCAGACUUUCAUCUUGAUGGGGAAAUUCAACCACUUGUCUGUUUGCUGGGAAAUCCAGUAGACUCCUGGAGUGUGUUGAGACCUCCUGAUCCAGCUAUUGAUAAAAUGACCAGAGAAGAAGUGUUCCUAGACCUAGUGUUCACCAAUUAAGAGGAGCUUGUUAAAGAGGUUAAGGUUGGAGGCAAUUUGAGAUGUAGUGACUGUGCCCUGGUAGAGUUUGUGAUCUUGAGGAAUAUGGGCCUGGCAAAAAAUGAAAUCAGGACUUUGAACUUGUAGCAAAUUUUUGGCUGUUUAAGGAAUUAUUGAGAUUGCCUUUAGAGAUAAAGGUGCAGAGUAGGAAGUUCUUUAAGGAUGCUUUUCUGAAAGCACAAGAGCUCUCUGUCCACCAGCAUAGGAAUCAAGCAGAGGAGGCAGAAAAUCAGCAUUGCUGAAGAAAGACCUGCUGGUUAAAAACCUGUGGGAAAAGAGGAACAUGGAAAGGCACUGGAAACGGGGAUAUGUGGCCUGGGAAGAAUACAGGGCGUGCAGAGAUGGGAUCAGGAAAGCCAAGGUGUGGAAUUUGGUGAUGGAUGAGAAAAAUAACAGGAAGUGAUUCUAUAGAUACAUUAGUCAAGAAGAGACAGACCAAGGAGAGUGUAUCCCCCCUCUGAUAAAUGAGAAGUGGAAACUGUCUACAACAGGUAUGGAGUAGACUGAGGUCUUCAACAAGUUUUUUGCCUCAAUCUUCACUGGCAGUCUUCCUACAUCUCUUUAGGCAUAGGACAGGGGAGAAAAGCCAUUCUUUUUCUGUAAGAGGAGAAUAAGUCUGAGAUCACCUCAAGAGGCUGAAUGUGUACAGGUCUAUGGGGCAGAUGACAUGUGUCUCAGAAUCCUGAAGGAAUUGGCUGAUGUGGUUGCCAAGAAGCUCUGCAUCAUAUUUGAAAAGUCUUGACUGUUGGGAAAAGUUCAUGGUGACUGGAAAAAGGGAAUCAUCACUCCCAUUACUAAGAAAUGGAGAAAGAAAGACCUGAGGAACUAUAGGCUGACGAGCCUUGCCACUGUGCCUUGGAAGAUCAUGGAAUGGAUCCUCCUGGAAGCUAAGGCACGUGCAAGACAAGGAGGUGAUAUGAGAUAGCAUGACUUUACCAACGGCAGAUAGUGCCUCACCGAUCUGGUGGCCUUCUACUAUUGAAUGACAGCAUCAGUGGACAAACAAAGAGCAACUGAUGUAAUUUACCUGGACUUCUGCAAGGCUUUUGACAUGGUCUCACACCACUUAUCUCGAAAUUGGACAGAGGUGGAUCUAAAGGUUAGAAUAUUCGAUGGAUAAAAAAAAUCUGUUGGAUGGUCGCAGCUGGAGUGUUGUUGUCAGUGACUCUAUGUUCAGGUGGAGGCCAGUUAUAAGUGAUCUCCCAGAGAUCAGUCUUGGGACUGGUGCUCCUCAACAGUGACACAGAUGAUGGAAUUGAGUGCACCUUCAGCAAGCUUGCUGUUGACACCAAGCUGACUGGUGCAGUUGACACAACAGAAGGAGAGGAUGCCAUCCAGAGGGACCUGGACAAGCUUGAGAAGUGGGCCCACAUGAACCUAAUGAGUUUCUACAAAGCCAAGUGGAAGAAGACACAGCACCAAGAGGAGAAACCCCAAAUUGUCACUGGUCUCUGCAAAUGGAUUUCAACAAUAAGCAGAUACAAUAAGCAGGUCCUCCUUCUCUAUUUUUCCUUUUACAAAAUAGAACUUCAGAAAAUCUCCUUGAAAAAGGAACGGAAACAUGAGGCAGAAACCCAUGGUGUCCUGAGAAGGUUACCUGCUGAGGGGAAAAAAAAAAAAAAAAAGAAGUGGU